rnacentral:tRNA from 1 species
GGGGAUGGGCUGUGGCUCAGUGGUUGACCAUCUGACUCGAAUGCAUAAGAUCCCCGGUUCAGUCCCCGGAAUCUCCA